UACGAAGGGGGCUAGCGUUGCUCGGAAUCACUGGGCGUAAAGGGCGCGUAGGCGGCCAUUCAAGUCAGAGGUGAAAGCCCAAGGCUCAACCUUGGAACUGCCUUUGAUACUGUUUGGCUUGAGACCGGUAGAGGUAAGUGGAACUGCGAGUGUAGAGGUGAAAUUCGUAGAUAUUCGCAAGAACACCAGUGGCGAAGGCGGCUCACUGGCCCGAUACUGACGCUGAGGCACGAAAGCGUGGGGAGCAAACAGG
rnacentral:rRNA from 1 species